rnacentral:rRNA from 1 species
GCCUCAAGUUAUGUGUGACAACCCCCUGAAUUUAAGCAUAUUAAUAAGGGGAGGAAAAGAAACUAACAAGGAUUCCCUGAGUAGCUGCGAGCGAAACGGGAGAAGCUCAGCACGUAGGGAUGGCGGCCCGCCCGUCUAUCCGAUGCCGUGUAUUGGUAUGUCUCACUAUCCGUCUUCCUAGUGGUAUUCAAGUCCAACUUGAAUGUGGCUUUGAACCCAUAGAGGGUGAUAGGCCCGUAGAACACCACCCAGCGGUUGAUGGACCGAGCGUACCAUGGAGUCGUGUUGCUUGAUAGUGCAGCACUAAGUGGGAGGUAAACUCCUUCUAAAGCUAAAUACGACCAUGAGACCGAUAGUAAACAAGUACCGUGUGGGAAAGUUGAAAAGCACUCUGAAUAGAGAGUCAAAGAGUACGUGAAACUGCCGAGGGUGUAAAGCCUGUUGAACUCAAUUAUCCGUAGAUGCCCGCAACCUGGAUUUUGGCUGUCAUGCGACUGUAGGCUCACGCUCUCGGUCGUAGGCCAUAUCCUAGCGGGGAUCGAGCGCGGACAUCGUGAUCCAUUACGCAAACCCAAUGCGAGCGGCGACUCCGGUUGCUGCGAGCAUAUCCAACACCAGGUCCCAGAACACGCGGUCGACCCUCUAGUAGUGGCGCUCAGCUUAAGGCCGGCGUCGCGAACGGGGGAUCGAGGCUCCGGUCUCGAGUUCGGCUAGUUCAGGUGUGCCGUUGGAUGCGUGAUGGGCAUUGAACGAACUAGGGAAGUGUGAAGCGCAUGUUUGGGCAUGUUCAAGGGCGUCAGCCUGAGCCGACCACGACUCCGGAUCGACGAUGUACUAACUAAUUGAGGUACCUACGGGACCCGUCUUGAAACACGGACCAAGAAGUCUAUCUUGCGCGCAAGUCAAUGGGAGUAGCAAACCCAAAGGCGAAGAUAACACAACUGCAAAGUCGUUGCGGGAUUACGGGUGCACCACAGUCCGCAAGGACUGGCUAGCUGUGCCGCCCCUCCAUCCCCGGGUGUUUAGCAACGGAUCUGUAGUGCCGCGGACCCCCCGCCGGGGUGGGCAUUUGCAGAGCCAACGCGACAUACCGCGAGCGCGCAGGAUGUGACCCGAAAGAU